rnacentral:misc_RNA from 1 species
AGCUCUCGGGGAAGAAAAUUUAGGCUAAUAUUUGGGUUUGGGAACAGUGAUACUUCUAUGAAUCGAAUUUUCUUAGGCGUGUUUUUUAUAUUUAAUUUAGAGAACUUCAUCGCUAAUAAUCAAAUUAAAUAUAUUUCUGAUUUUGCAUGUCCUCUGUAGGAAAAUUUAAGAUGAAUGAAGGAGACUGGAUUUGUUCCGAUACACAGUGUAGCAAUGUGAAUUUUGCACGUAGAACUACAUGCAAUCGAUGUGGCAAAGAAAAAACUGCAAUACCACAAAGGAAGAAACUUGGGCACGAAAUUGGAAAAGCAGCAGCUGAGAAAAGCAGAGGCUUGUUUAGUGCUGAUGACUGGCAGUGCGGAAGGUGUGGUAAUGUAAACUGGGCCAGGAGACAACAAUGCAACAUGUGCAAUGCUCCAAAAUUUGGUGAAGUGGAAGAAAGAACAGGACUUGGUGGUGGCUACAAUGAAAGAGAAAAUGUUGAAUAUAUUGAAAGAGUAGAAUCUGACGGAGAGUAUGAUGAGUUUGGAAGAAAGAAGAAAAAAUAUCGAGGUAAUGAUGAAAAGCCUGCAAAAAAAGUAGAAAAGGAAGAAAAAUUAAAAGAGAAAGAUGUAUCUAAAUACAAAAUUGAUGAUGAGGAAGAAGAGGAGGAGGAAGAUGAUGAUGAUGAUGGUGACCUGUCAAAGUAUGAUUUAACUGGUUGGAGUGAUGAUGAGAAUGAAGAAUCUCUCAAAAAGGAUAAAAAAUCACCUUCCAGAUCUCAUUCUUCUGCAUCUUCGAGAUCUGAAUCAUCUCAGUCUAGGUCAAGAUCUUCUAGCAGUUCAUCACGAUCUUCAAAAUCUUCACAUUCUAGUUCCGAUUCUGAAAAGCCAAAGUCCAAAAAUAAAAGACAUUACUCCAGGUCCAGGUAAAAGGGCGGGUGGUAAUGGUUGAAAGAUCUGGUCUCCUGAAAUUAAGAAACGAGUUAAAAAAGAAUCAUCCAGUAGUAGUAGGUCUCGCAGUCCAUCUUCAAGGUCAAGAUCUAGGGAGAGGUCAAGUUCAUAUUCUCCUGUUAGUCGCAAGAGAUGAGAGUAUUGU